AAUUUCUUUAUAAAUACCCUUUUUUUAAUUUUUUUUUCAUUCAUUUUUAAAAAUCUAUAUUUUACCUCUUCAAUAUUUCAAGUGUUGCAUUUAGAUAGACCGUCCCUAGAGCAAGUGGCAAAGGGCUUAUUGGUUGGUACCCGAGACCCAAGUUCGAAUCCUAGUUGAUUCACAUUUCUAGCUAAGUUUAUUUCUAAAUGAAAUAAACGAAGCAAGUAGCGUGCUACCUAUCUCUCUCUCAAAAAAAGUGUUGCAUUUAGGCUUUCCCUCUCUGAAGGUUCCAUCACUAUUCCGCCCAUAUCUUAUAAUUUAUAUCGAAAAUGCCUUUAAGAAUGAUAAAAAUAUAUAGUUUUUUUUCUUAUUAAAGAAGUAAGGAUAAUUUGAUCAUUUUGCUUUUUCCAUUAACACUAUAUCCCGCUGAAAACAUUUGUGAAAUUUUAAGGGGCAAAAUAUGGGUUUUUAAAGUCAAUGAGGGAAAGUAAAAAAAUGGAUAUUUACAAGAAGAUUUUCUGUAUUUUAGUUUU
rnacentral:lncRNA from 1 species